GCAAAGUUGGAAACUACUGUUGGAUCGAGAAAUGGACGUCCGAGAUUCGUCCACGUCACCAUGAGUUAAAAAUUUAACUCAUGGUGACGUGGACGAAUCUCGGACGUCCAUUUCUCGAUCCAACGGUAGUUUUCAAGUUUUC
rnacentral:pre_miRNA from 1 species